rnacentral:lncRNA from 1 species
CUCCCGUAGGAGUCCGGACGGAGCUUACCUGCAGUGGAUACUGAAAGCGGAACCCGGCACCCGUAGGAGUCCGGGCGGAGCACUCUGCAAUCAAAGUUAAAGAUGAAGUCCGGCUCCCGUAGGAGUCCGGACGGAGCUUACCAGCAGCUGAUACUGAAGGCGGAGCCCGGCUCCCGUAGGAGUCCGGGCGGAGCCGAGCUGCUGU